CUUGACCUCUCCGCCGGGUGAAGCUUCUUCACCCACCUCACGUGGCCCCCACCAGUUCACCCGGGACCACGGCUGACUCACCGUCUGGGAAUCUGGAGUAGGCACUGCCUUUGUAAAAAAGCCGUGCUAAAAACUUGCUGUGCAAGAUAAACAGGGAAAACAUGCUGUUUGGCACACGCAGGGUUCAGAUGUUGACCAUUGUGUUCCCUGGGAGUUAAUCAUCACAGGUCAGCCCUGCCUUUGCAGUGGGAGGGAGGUGUGCUCCGCUGCUUGCUCAAUAUUAAGGAAGCAGGUGCAGCAACAACUCAUUGUUGUGUGUUGCUGGUGGAAGAGCCUGUAGAAGAGAAGGCUUUGCACAAGACUACAUGCGGCAACAUUUGGGAUGUAAAUGCAUUAGAAAACCACCCACCUAGGCUGGCUUUUCAGGCUACAACUUUUACUGAUGCCAUCAUACCCAAACUCUCUAACCUGCUAUCAGAAGGCAAAAUGUGCCUGUGGAGCCUUUUGGUCUUCCCUGGGGAACUGAAGACAGGGGAAGAUCUGGGCACAUCCUCUGAGUAAACCACAGCUGAAGAGGUUUUCAAACUGUUCAUGCUUCAGAACACUGGAAGACUCCAGUAGGAAUAACUAUAAACCUACUCAUUACAGUCUGCAGAUCUCCUAGUGUGGGUGAGUGAAUAAGCAUCUGAAAACAACUGUGCUUUAUUCUUUUUCUUACACAUCUGCCAUG
rnacentral:lncRNA from 1 species